GCGGACCAGGAACAUACCAUGACACUUAUGACGGCAUCUGCCGGCCUUGUGGGUACGCGAGUUAUCAGGACGAGUUUGGACAAACCGAAUGUAAUCCCUGCCCUGGAACGUUUACUACUGAAGGUCCAGGAGCCAAGGACAUCAGUGAAUGCAAAGAAUUUGCUGACUGCGACUGUGGCAUCCAUCCUUGCAUUUUGAAUGCAACUGGUUAUUUCUGCCAUUGCUUGGUUGGAUAUGAGAAGAAAGGCGACGACUGUUUCGACAUAGACGAGUGUGCAGAUCCGAACAUCUGCCCCAAUGCCAGGUGCAUCAACCGGCCAGGGAGCUACUCCUGUCAAUGUUUAACGGGAUACGA